GCCAACUUCAUGUCAUGCAGGACAAUAUAAUGUACACUUUUUGAGCUCACAUUGCUCUUCAAAGAUUUCCUGCGGAGAUGAAAGUAAACUAGAGAAUUUAGUUUUAUUGUGUAUCAUUUUGACCCAUUCAAUUAUAAUCAUUUUUAUUACCGCUCAAACUCUGAUUUACGAAAGGAAGACGUGCGAUUAACAGGCUGUAAUAAAUUCCUCACCCCUCUUUGGUUCCGUACUCUUGAGUUUCUCCCGCUGUAUCUGACCUCAUGCUUUACGCAGUGCGGUCGUCGAGUUGAUAAUCCGUGUCAGUAAUCUCUUUUAACAAUUUAUUUCAGAAAGACAGAUCAAACACACCAUUUCCCCUGACGUGGAGUACAGACCGCCCCGUAUUUGCAGUGACUGGUGUUGUUGAGCCACCUUGUGGUGUUUGCACACAGUGUUCCCCCCCUGCCUCCCUCUCUCUGUUUCUCCAUCUACUCUGUCGCAUUUUUUUCUCUCACUCUUUCUCAGUUGUUAGGGUGUUUGACACCUGAGGUCUGCCACUAUGCAGCCUGGAGGAGCACACAAUGCUGUGUGUGGCCAGAGCCUGCUGUCCAACUCCCUUAGGGUGUAUCUGAACAACAAGAACAGACUGCAGCCCAUAAUCGGUCUGGGCUGUGUGACAGAGUGUGUGACACUCGGCUUGGACUCUGAGGCGGUGUACCUGUGUGAGGUGUGUGUGUGUCGUCUCAGUAAGGCUGAUGUCAGGAGCCACAUCAUGGGGAGUCUCCACCGAUACAACUACAUUAAAGUCCAUCACCCUCACUUUGUGUCAGAGUGGAAGCAGAGUCCUCCUGACCUGUCCAAGCUGGCCCGGCCUCUUAUGGAGAUGGCUCAAAUACUAGAGAAGAGAGAAGGAACCGGGGACGUACAGGUGCUGAAGUUGGAUGCUGCCAUGUAUGACGAUAUGACAACACACAGCGAGAGUGAUGCUCUCAUCCUCUUGCAUGCCACCAGGACUGGGAGGGAGCAGAGAGAUCUUCAGAGCCAAUCAGUGAAGCAAUCAGUCCAGUCGGAGUAUCUUACCAUCCAGUCACAGAGAACUGUGAUAUCGCCUCGGAGGCUCUCCGUCCAACCAGAGAGGCCUGUUGUCCAGCUUGACAACCGAACCGUCCUAUGGAGGAGUCCGACCACCCAGAGUCGGAACUCAUCUAGCCAAUCGGAGAAGUCCCCUGUGUUGCAGCAGAGUGUCUCUAUCCAAUCACGGCUUAGUUCGUUGGAGGAGGAGUUUCUCCAUGGAAGCAAGCCACUGGUUGGUGCUUCACUGAAGCGUCCUGCCUCAUCAUGGCAGCAUGACCCCUCUCUUUCCCCGACCCCAAAUGUCACAGCUGGAAGUCAGACGUCUCUGGGCGGGCCUGAGGGGAAGGGGGCGGGACUGCAGGGGGUUCCUGCAAAGCUGAUUCGCUGUGAGCCGGUGUUCAAGGUCAGUCUAUCUAUGACGGACGGCCCCUGGCUGUUGGAGAGGAACUCCUUCAGCCUGGAAACCUCCCCCUCCUCCCUCAGACACGCCUCACCCCUUCACUCCCCCACCGUAGAUGCCUCACUCCAACCCUCUCCCGAUCCCUCACGUUUGCUUGGCCAGCCGGGAAACUCAGUUGCCGCAAGACUCGGAAACACACAUGAAAAUACACACACUCCGGGACUGAGACGCACUCCGGGACAUGCACACACUUCAACUAUGAGACUGAGCCCAGCCAUACCUGAUGAGCAGCUGACUAUGGGAGACGAGGACACAGAGAAAGACCGUCUGUAUCUCGGAGGGGAACAGAGGUUCACCGACUAUGCUUUGUACGAUGGCAGAGAGAAAAACACAACUGACCUGGUUUACCUCAGGAGAGAGCAGGACCGAACUGACCAUCUGUAUUCAGAAAAUAACCGACUCACUGACACAAAGUUCCAUGUCCGAGUGGGGCAGAACAACCGACAAGGCAGUAUUUACCCCGGUCUAGCCUGUGCCAGAGACAUCACUGACACAGCGUCUGUUGCCGGGCCGAUUCUCUUCACUACCGGCUGUCUCUUGAAGGAGAGCUUGACAGACACUCCUCUAAUGGAAGAAGAACAGGAGGAGGAGAGGGGGAAUGAGUGUCAUUCUGGGGCACAGAGGCUUGCAGAGGAUGACAGGACAACUGACAGUCUGUACUCUACUGGAGAGAGGAUAACAGACAGUGGGUUUUCCACAGGAAGCAGGUCAAAUGACAAAAUGUACCAAACAGGAGAACGAUCAACUGACAAUCAGUCUUUUACAACAGAAGUGACAACUGACUGUUGGUAUGCUACAGGAGAGGAGCUAACUGACCGUCAGUUGAUGGAGGAAGAGGAGCGAUGCAGAGCUGAAAUUCAGAAUGGAGUUGGGCUCAUCGUGGAGGUCAUGGUGGAGGAGGGGGAGAGAGAGGAAGGAAAGGAUGGAGAGAGGGAGGAGAACUCAGACUUUUACCACCAACAGUAUUUGCAAGGCCAGCCUCUACAACGGCACCAGGCGCAGGGGUUCACAGGAACUCAUAGGGGCGCCGUAGGGCUUCAUAUGGUUGACACAGCAGAUCUCAGACAUGACAUAGCCCUUCAUAGAGAUCAGGCAGGGCCAGCCCUUCACCGAGAAGAGAUGAGCAGUCGUAUGGGUGACAUAGCAGCUAUGCAGCAGGUGCAGUUAUGUGAGGCUGAGUACAGAGAAGCAUGGGCCUAUGGAGGCACACAGCUGACCCCUGACACCUAUAGAUCAGGUCCGCAGGAGUAUGAGACUGACCCUGGCUCCUACCUGCCAUUCCCAGAGGGCCACAGAAUAAACUGUGACCCCCACCAAGUGGUUUCUGAUUGGUUUAGAACCACCCCUGGCCCGCACUUCGUUCACUCUAACCCUGACGAGUUUACACCCCAGGUCCUCCCGUACCCCCACAAUACAAUGCCCCAGGGGUUUGGACCCAAUCCCCACUCUGGUCCCUUCCCCAUGAAGAUGAGGGGCGUGCAGUCACAGGAGUACAGAAGGCUCCCCAGCCCCCCAUUUGUUAUGGUGUCUAGACCCUGCCACCCUCAGCCCUUCUUUCCAGGACAUGAAGGCUUUCUGUCCCCCCGGCACAGCCCAGCCUUACCUCCCAGCCCUCCCCACUACAGAGGAGCCUACUUGGGCCACAGCCCUGCCCGGAGUCCCUGGGCAGGACCAGGACCUCCCUGGGUCUAAUUACCACACACCAUACAUAAAUCCACCAGGAUAGUUAUUUGUGGCACUUUAGACACUGUUGUUUUAAAUGGACAGGUGUUUUGUGUGUUUUAUACACUCUAGGUUCUAUUGUUUUUAUAGCUGUCUUAAACCAACAGUAUCCCAUCCAUUGUAUAAGUGCUGAUUUUAGGUACUUCCCCUGUAUGAUGUCAUGAAAUCUCAUUGACAACUGGCAACGAUUCAACUCACCGGUUCAAUUCUGUUACCAAUUCAGAUUUAUACAAGACUUGUUUGUUUUAAGUUGUUUGUCUUCUACCGUCGAAUCAAGAUGGAGCUGAGAUGGAUAAAUAGACAACACGUUGAACACUGGCUAAAUUUUAUAAUAUGAACUCAGUUUGUGAAAUAUCUAUUUUUCAACAACAAAUAUUUUGGUUAAUGCAAAAAAAAAUCUAUGGUUAUAUUAACAUUAAGGUUUAUUUUACACAAUAAGGGGGAUCAAUUAGGGGUUCAACAUUGACCUUUCCAGAACUGUCUAGAAGGAGGCGCUGUAUUAGUUUUCAGUUCGACCAGCUGAGGGAAGCAGAGCUGAAUAAGUUGUUUAAAAUGAUGUUCAGAAACACAACACUUGUUAAAAUAAACAGUUUUAUGUUUAAAUGCUUUUUAUAUUUGCCAUGUGUGCUUCCCUCAUGAAGUUGGGUUUAUUUCAGUGUAACAACAGCUUUGGCCAGUGUUAUACUUUGACUUUGGUUCACACACCUUUACAUUGGCUUAACUGAGUAGAUCUGAUUCCAUUUGUUGAAUUAUUAGUGUUAAUUUGAAGAUUAUUCCCCCAAAAUGUUUAUGUGCAGCAGGUACGACAGACUUGGAUUCGCCUCUUCCUAUAGGCAGACUACGCGCUGCCCUUUUCUUUUUCAAGGAACUGUUGGGUCUCAACUCACUUUUGAAAAGUAGAAUACACCAGGUGCAAUUUUGACAUUUUGUUGUGUAUCAGUAGUUUCCCACUUAUGACAGUCGCUCAAUGAGACCAUGUCAGCAAAACAUUUUAAGAUUGCUAGGUAAGGUAGUUGAGCCAGGGCCCUGACCUCCAGGGGGGCCUCCAUUGGUUUUGUAAUUUUGUCACUCUUUCACAGACACUCAUAUAUAUAUAUAUAUAUAUAUACACACACACACAAGUAUAUGUGGAUUUGUCUAUUUCAGCCACACCUGUUGCUGACAGGUGUUUAAAAUCGAGCACACAGCCAUUCAAUCUCCAUAGACAAACAUUCGCAGUAGAAUGGCCUUACUGAAGAGCUCAGUUACUUUCAACGGGGCACUGUCAUAGGGUUCCACAUUCUCCAACAAGUCAGUUUGUCUAGAGCUACUCGGUCAAUUGUUAUUGUGAAGUGGAAACGUCUUGGAGAAACAACAGCUCGGCUGCGAAGUGGUAGGCCACACAAGCUCACAGAACGGGACCGCCGAGUGCUGUAGAGCACAAAGAUUGUCUGUCCCCUGUUGCAACACUCACUACAGAGUUCCAAACUGGAGGAGGAGGGGGGGUUCUAAAAGGCUAGAGGCAGCACUGGAAAGGCUACUCAGCAAGUGGCAUUGAACUUUAUUUUUUUGGUCAGUUUUGUCUCCCCCACUGCCCAAUGUCAAUUUGUGGGCAUGAUACAACUUGUCAAGCAGGUCUAUAAUAUGGUUAAUGUAGCACAGCUGGAUUCAAGUUGUUUUUUUUAACCUGUUUUUCCAUUGAGUCAAUGCUGUAUUCAAGCGUCUCAUACUAGUUUAUUUUUUUAUUUGCUGCUGUAUUUGAGUACAUUAUGGCCUUCAGGCUAAUAAAGUCACAGUAUCCAUUGAUCUCCUGCUCCAGUCAUCUCCAGCCAUGCAGUGGCUCCCAAUUUAUUAUUUUUUACCAAAGACAAACCAAAUCUUACAUGAGGUCAUUGUCAUUUUGUAGUAAUGCCUGUUUUUUGAUCUUAUGAAUUUCUGACCUUGGAAAACCCUUAGAGGGUUGCGAAACAAAACACUGAUCUACUAAUAUCUUCCAUAACAUUAUCCAGCUGUCAUGUGAAGGCUUGAGAAGGAAGUACUGCAC
ensembl:lncRNA